UCUCCGUAGGUGAACCUGCGGAGGGAUCAUUACACAAAUAUGAAGGCGGGCUGGAACCUCUCGGGGUUACAGCCUUGCUGAAUUAUUCACCCUUGUCUUUUGCGUACUUCUUGUUUCCUUGGUGGGUUCGCCCACCACUAGGACAAACAUAAACCUUUUGUAAUUGCAAUCAGCGUCAGUAACAAAUUAAUAAUUACAACUUUCAACAACGGAUCUCUUGGUUCUGGCAUCGAUGAAGAACGCAGCGAAAUGCGAUAAGUAGUGUGAAUUGCAGAAUUCAGUGAAUCAUCGAAUCUUUGAACGCACAUUGCGCCCUUUGGUAUUCCAAAGGGCAUGCCUGUUCGAGCGUCAUUUGUACCCUCAAGCUUUGCUUGGUGUUGGGCGUCUUGUCUCUAGCUUUGCUGGAGACUCGCCUUAAAGUAAUUGGCAGCCGGCCUACUGGUUUCGGAGCGCAGCACAAGUCGCACUCUCUAUCAGCAAAGGUCUAGCAUCCAUUAAGCCUUUUUUUCAACUUUGACCUCGGAUCAGGUAG
rnacentral:rRNA from 1 species